rnacentral:rRNA from 1 species
UACGUAGGGUGCAAGCGUUGCCCGGAUUUAUUGGGCGUAAAGGGCGCGUAGGCGGCUCUGCACGUUCGUUGUGAAAUCGCCCGGCUCAACUGGGCGGGGUCAGCGGAUACGGCAGAGCUUGAGCAAGCUAGGGGGCAAUGGAAUUCCCGGUGUAGUGGUGGAAUGCGUAGAUAUCAGGAGGAACACCGGUGGCGAAGGCGGGUCUCUGGGCCGAUACUGACGCUGAGGAGCGAAAGCGUGGGGAGCGAACAGG